rnacentral:lncRNA from 1 species
AAAUAGAAUCAGAAAAGAAAAAUGUAAAUUUCACUCAGAUCAGAAACAUGGACGAAAAUUCUGGUGUUAAAAGAAGGAUUUGACAUCAAAUCAAUUUAGAUGCAAUUUCCUUAAAUGUGCACUUUAGGAAAUAGGCAGAAAUUCUUUUAUCUCCUAAUCUGGAUUCAACCAAAUUCAAAAUUCAAAAUUGAUUCCCAUAAAUUACAGCAAUCAAUUGAGAUAGGUAAGGCAAUAUGGACGAAAAAGGAAACAUACCACAAUUUCGGCCAAAUCAAGAUAAAUAAUGUAAAGGCGAUUUUUUAUUUUUGAUUUUUUUUUUUUUGGAUUUUGAUUUUUUUUUUUAUAACUAAUAAUCAAGAAGGUGCAGCCAUGGACACACAAGCUUUCACCGAAAAGAACAAGGAAGAAAAGGAAAACUCAAAAACCCUAGAUCCUAAGAUAAAUCAGAAUUUACCUCACUUUGGCUCUGAUACCAACUGACGCGGAACCCUAUGGCACAAGCCUCAAACCCACACGCACAAGUAGAUAUGAAAUCCAAAGAUUUGAUAAACCCACCUCCUAUGGCACCCCACACUUAGAGAAGCUGAAACACCAAUGAUCGAAGGAUUUAGAUGAGAAUUUGACAAACG